rnacentral:rRNA from 1 species
UACAUGGGGUGCAAACGUUGCUCGGAAUUAUUGGGCGUAAAGCGCGCGUAGGCGGUUACUCAAGUCGAAUGUGAAAGCCCCCGGCUCAACUGGGGAGGGUCAUUCGAUACUGUUCGACUCGAAGGCAGGAGAGGGAAGUGGAAUUCCCGGUGUAGUGGUGAAAUGCGUAGAUAUCGGGAGGAACACCAGUGGCGAAGGCGACUUCCUGGCCUGUUCUUGACGCUGAGGCGCGAAAGCUAGGGGAGCAAACGGGG